AUGGUACUUCACCAAUGUGACAGUCCUCAUGAGCUCUAUCAUGUGCACGCCGGUGCCACCACCUCCACUCCAGUAGCUCUUGCAGCCGAUGUCGACAUAUGGCGUGCUCGCCUUGGCCAUCCCAACCCUACCGUUUUACGUCAAAUUCUUAGGAGUUUUUCAUUCUCAUGUAAUAAGAUCGAUGAUCAUACUUGUGAGGCUUGUCGUCUAGGAAAGCACGUUCGUCUUCCCUUUAGUGCGUCUACGACUAUUUCCACUUUUCCGUUUCAGUUACUUCAUAGUGAUGUUUGGACAUAUCCCGUUGCAAGCAACACCGGCUACCUUCAUUAUUUGGUGAUUUUAGAUGAUUAUUCCCAUUAUAUGUGGAUUUCCCCCUUCGUCGCAAAUCCGACGCCUUAG
rnacentral:rRNA from 1 species